UACAGAGGUCUCAAGCGUUGUUCGGAUUCAUUGGGCGUAAAGGGUGCGUAGGUGGCGCCGUAAGUCAGGUGUGAAAUUUCGGAGCUUAACUCCGAAACUGCAUUUGAUACUGCGGUGCUUGAGGACUGGAGAGGAGACUGGAAUUUACGGUGUAGCAGUGAAAUGCGUAGAGAUCGAUAGGAAGACCAGUGGCGAAGGCGGGUCUACGUG
rnacentral:rRNA from 1 species